rnacentral:rRNA from 1 species
AUUGAACGCUGGCGGCAUGCCUUACACAUGCAAGUCGAACGGCAGCGGACCUUCGGGUGCCGGCGAGUGGCGAACGGGUGAGUAAUAUAUCGGAACGUACCUUUCAGUGGGGGAUAACGUAGCGAAAGUUACGCUAAUACCGCAUAUUCUGUGAGCAGGAAAGCAGGGGAUCGCAAGACCUUGCGCUGAUUGAGCGGCCGAUAUCAGAUUAGCUAGUUGGUGAGGUAAAGGCUCACCAAGGCGACGAUCUGUAGCGGGUCUGAGAGGAUGAUCCGCCACACUGGAACUGAGACACGGUCCAGACUCCUACGGGAGGCAGCAGUGGGGAAUUUUGGAUAAUGGGCGCAAGCCUGAUCCAGCCAUGCCGCGUGAGUGAAGAAGGCCUCGGUUGUAAG